rnacentral:rRNA from 1 species
AGGCCAGACUCCUACGGGAGGCAGCAGUGGGGGAUAUUGCACAAUGGGGGGAACCCUGAUGCAGCGACGCCGCGUGAGUGAAGAAGUAUUUCGGUAUGUAAAGCUCUAUCAGCAGGGAAGAAAAUGACGGUACCUGACUAAGAAGCCCCGGCUAACUACGUGCCAGCAGCCGCGGUAAUACGUAGGGGGCAAGCGUUAUCCGGAUUUACUGGGUGUAAAGGGAGCGUAGACGGCAAUGCAAGUCUGGAGUGAAAGCCCAAGGCCCAACCAUGGGACUGCUCUGGAAACUGUGGAGCUAGAGUGCAGGAGAGGUAAGUGGAAUUCCUAGUGUAGCGGUGAAAUGCGUAGAUAUUAGGAGGAACACCAGUGGCGAAGGCGGCUUACUGGACUGUAACUGACGUUGAGGCUCGAAAGCGUGGGGAGCAAACAGGAUUAGAUACCCGUGUAAUU